UCUGCCCCCCCCCCACUUACUCCAGGCCGUUGCCCCGGGGCUCCAGCUCCAUCUCCUGCAGGAGGGAAGCCACGGUCAGGGAUGGGCAGGGGACACCAGGGCAGAUGGGGGACCCAUGGUGGGCAGGGGAUGAUGGCAGGCAGGGGACACCAGGGCAGAUGGGGGACCCACAGCAGGCAGGGGACGGUGGCAGGAAGGGGACAGUGGCAGGAAGGGGACACCAGGACAGAUGGGGGACCCACGGCGGGCAGGGGACGGUGGCAGGAAGGGUGCCAUGGCAGGAAGGGGACACCAGGACAGAUGGGGGACCCACAGUGGGCAGGGGACGGUGGCAGGAAGGGGAUGGUGGCAGGAAGGGGACACUAGGGCAGGCAGGGGACACCAGGGCAGAUGGGGGACCCACAGCAGGCAGGGGACGAUGGCAGGAAGGGGACGGUGGCAGGAAGGGGACACCAGGGCAGGAAGGGGACACCAAGGCAGAUGGGGGACCCAUGGCAGGCAGGGGAUGGUGGCAGGAAGGGGACACCAGGGCAGAUGGGGGACCCAUGGCAGGCAGGGGACGAUGGCAGGAAGGGUGCCAUGGCAAGCAGGGGGACCCAUGGCAUUCAGGGGACAGCAUCAGGCAGGGGAGGGUGACAGGCAGGGGGACCCGUGGUAGGGAGGGGACAAUGUCAGGCAAGGACCCCAUGGCACUCAGGGGACGACUUCAGGCAGGGGAGGGUGGGUGACACGCAGGGGAGCCAUGGGAGGGAGGGGACGAUGGCAGGCAGGGGACAGUGCCAGGUGGGGGACACAUGGGAGGGAGGGGACGGUGACACAUAGGGUGGUAUGUCAGGCAGGGGAUGGUGACAGGCAGGGGAUGGUGACAGGCAGGGGACGGUGACAGGCAGGGGACGGUGACAGAGAGGGGACCCAUGGCAGGGAGGGGACAAUGUCAGGCAGGGACCCAUGGCAUUCAGGGGACGGUGGCAGGCAGGCGACACUGACGGAUAGGGGACCCAUGGCAGGCAGGGGACGAUGGCAGGGAGGGUGCCAUGGCAGGGAGGGGACAAUUUCAGGCAGGGGACCCACGGCAGGGAGUGGGUGGUGACACAUGGGGUGGCAUGACAAGCAGGGACCCAUGGCAGGGAGGGGACAAUGCCAGGCAGGGAGGGUGACACGUAGGGGACCUAUGGCAGGGAGGGGACGAUGGCAGGCAGGGGACCCAUGGCAGGCAGGGGAUGGUGGCAGGGAGGGGACGAUGGCAGGCAGGGGACAGUGGCAGUCAGGGGAUGGUGACAGGCAGGGGACCCAUGGCAGGGAGGGGACGAUGCCAGGCAGGGAGGGUGGUAUGUCAGGGAGGGGAGGAUGGCAGGGAGGGGACGGUGACAGGUAGGGGACCCAUGGCCGGGAGGGGACGGUGACACAUAGGGUGUUAUGGCAGGGAGGGGACGGUGACAGGCAGGGGAGAUGACACGUAGGGGACGGUAACGGGAAGGGGACCCAUGGCCAGGAGGGGACCCAUAGCUGGGAGGGGACAGUGACAGGUUGGGGACCCACGACCGGGAGGGGACAGUGACAGCUGGGGACCCAUAGCCGGGAGGGGACAGUGACAUUUGGGGACCCAUGGCCGGGAGGGCGCGGUGCCAGCGGCGCGGGGCGAGGUGCGGUGCCGGCCCAACCGGAUGUUUUUGGGCUGACUCCGGGCCCGGCCCCGCGGGAUCCGCCCUCUCCCCGCCCCCCC
rnacentral:lncRNA from 1 species